GAUGAAUGCUGGCGGCGUGCCUAAUACAUGCAAGUCGAGCGAACGGACGAGAAGCUUGCUUCUCUGAUGUUAGCGGCGGACGGGUGAGUAACACGUGGAUAACCUACCUAUAAGACUGGGAUAACUUCGGGAAACCGGAGCUAAUACCGGAUAAUAUUUUGAACCGCAUGGUUCAAAAGUGAAAGACGGUCUUGCUGUCACUUAUAGAUGGAUCCGCGCUGCAUUAGCUAGUUGGUAAGGUAACGGCUUACCAAGGCAACGAUGCAUAGCCGACCUGAGAGGGUGAUCGGCUACACUGGAACUGAGACACGGUCCAGACUCCUACGGGAGGCAGCAGUAGGGAAUCUUCCGCAAUGGGCGAAAGCCUGACGGAGCAACGCCGCGUGAGUGAUGAAGGUCUUCGGAUCGUAAAACUCUGUUAUUAGGGAAGAACAUAUGUGUAAGUAACUGUGCACAUCUUGACGGUACCUAAUCAGAAAGCCACGGCUAACUACGUG
rnacentral:rRNA from 1 species